GACGGGGGGUCCAAGCGUUGUUCGGAAUCAUUGGGCGUAAAGCGUGUGCAGGUGGUCUUGUAAGUUAGGUGUGAAAUCCCCGGGCUCAACUCGGGAAGUGCACUUAAAACUACAAGACUUGAGUAAGGAAGAGGGUCGUGGAAUUCCUGGUGUAGUGGUGAAAUACGUAGAUAUCAGGAGGAACACCGGUGGCGCAGGCGGCGACCUGGUCCUAUACUGACACUCAUACACGAAAGCGUGGGGAUCAAACAGG
rnacentral:rRNA from 1 species